AUUGAACGCUGGCGGCAGGCCUAACACAUGCAAGUCGAACGAGUGGCGGACGGGUGAUUAAUGUCUGGGAAACUGCCUGAUGGAGGGGGAUAACUACUGGAAACGGAAGCUAAUACCGCAUAUCAUCGGAUGUGCCCAGCUGGGAUUAGCUGGUAGGUGGGGUAAUGGCUCACCAAGGAGACGAUCCCUAGCUGGUCUGAGAGGAUGACCGGCCACACUGGAACUGAGACACGGCCCAGACUCCUACGGGAGGCAGCAGUGGGGAAUAUUGGGCAAUGGGCGCAAGCCUGAUGCAGCCAUGCCGCGUGUAUGAAGAAGGCCUUCGGGUUGUAAAGUACUUUCAGCAGGGAGGCGGUACCUGAAGAAGAAGCACCGGCUAACUACGUGCCAGCAGCCGCGGUAAUAC
rnacentral:rRNA from 1 species